rnacentral:rRNA from 1 species
CACCGGCGCCCCAAGUGGCAAUCAUAAUUAUUGGGCCUAAAGCGUCCGUAGCCGGAUUAGUAAAUUCUCUGUGAAAUCAGUUGGCUCAACCAAUUGGCGUGCAGGGAACACUGCUAGUCUAGAGACCGGGAGAAGUGAAAGGUAUUCUGAGGGGAGCGGUAAAAUGUGAUAAUCCUUGGAAGACCACCGAUGGCGAAGGCAUUUCACUAGAACGGAUCUGACGGUCAGGGACGAAGGCUAGGGGAGCAAA